rnacentral:rRNA from 1 species
GAUGCAGCCAUGCCGCGUGUAUGAAGAAGGCCUUCGGGUUGUAAAGUACUUUCAGCAGUGAGGAAGGGAGAAGUUUUAAUAGAGCUGCUUUUUGACGUUAGCUGCAGAAGAAGCACCGGCUAACUCCGUGCCAGCAGCCGCGGUAAUACGGAGGGUGCGAGCGUUAAUCGGAAUUACUGGGCGUAAAGCGCAUGCAGGUGGUCUGUUAAGUCAGAUGUGAAAGCCCGGGGCUUAACCCCGGAGUUGCAUUUGAAACUGGCAGGCUAGAGUACUGUAGAGGGGGGUAGAAUUUCAGGUGUAGCGGUGAAAUGCGUAGAGAUCUGAAGGAAUACCGGUGGCGAAGGCGGCCCCCUGGACAGAUACUGACACUCAGAUGCGAAAGCGUGGGGAGCAAACAGGAUUAGAUACCCUGGUAGUCCACGCCGUAAACGAUGUCUACUUGGAGGUUGUGGCCUAAAGCCGUGGCUUUCGGAGCUAACGCGUUAAGUAAACCGCCUGGGGAGUACGGUCGCAAGAUUAAAACUCAAAUGAAUUGACGGGGGCCCGCACAAGCGGUGGAGCAUGUGGUUUAAUUCGAUGCAACGCGAAGAACCUUACCUACUCUUGACAUCCAGAGAAGCCGGAAGAGAUUCUGGUGUGCCUUCGGGAGCUCUGAGACAGGUGCUGCAUGGCUGUCGUCAGCUCGUGUUGUGAAAUGUUGGGUUAAGUCCCGCAACGAGCGCAACCCUUAUCCUUGAUUG